rnacentral:rRNA from 2 species
UUUUAUGGAGAGUUUGAUCCUGGCUCAGGAUGAACGCUGGCGGCGUGCCUAAUACAUGCAAGUCGAGCGAACGGACGAGAAGCUUGCUUUUCUGAUGUUAGCGGCGGACGGGUGAGUAACACGUGGAUAACCUACCUAUAAGACUGGGAUAACUUCGGGAAACCGGAGCUAAUACCGGAUAAUAUUUUGAACCGCAUGGUUCAAAAGUGAAAGACGGUCUUGCUGUCACUUAUAGAUGGAUCCGCGCUGCAUUAGCUAGUUGGUAAGGUAACGGCUUACCAAGGCAACGAUGCAUAGCCGACCUGAGAGGGUGAUCGGCCACACUGGAACUGAGACACGGUCCAGACUCCUACGGGAGGCAGCAGUAGGGAAUCUUCCGCAAUGGGCGAAAGCCUGACGGAGCAACGCCGCGUGAGUGAUGAAGGUCUUCGGAUCGUAAAACUCUGUUAUUAGGGAAGAACAUAUGUGUAAGUAACUGUGCACAUCUUGACGGUACCUAAUCAGAAAGCCACGGCUAACUACGUGCCAGCAGCCGCGGUAAUACGUAGGUGGCAAGCGUUAUCCGGAAUUAUUGGGCGUAAAGCGCGCGUAGGCGGUUUUUUAAGUCUGAUGUGAAAGCCCACGGCUCAACCGUGGAGGGUCAUUGGAAACUGGAAAACUUGAGUGCAGAAGAGGAAAGUGGAAUUCCAUGUGUAGCGGUGAAAUGCGCAGAGAUAUGGAGGAACACCAGUGGCGAAGGCGACUUUCUGGUCUGUAACUGACGCUGAUGUGCGAAAGCGUGGGGAUCAAACAGGAUUAGAUACCCUGGUAGUCCACGCCGUAAACGAUGAGUGCUAAGUGUUAGGGGGUUUCCGCCCCUUAGUGCUGCAGCUAACGCAUUAAGCACUCCGCCUGGGGAGUACGACCGCAAGGUUGAAACUCAAAGGAAUUGACGGGGACCCGCACAAGCGGUGGAGCAUGUGGUUUAAUUCGAAGCAACGCGAAGAACCUUACCAAAUCUUGACAUCCUUUGACAACUCUAGAGAUAGAGCCUUCCCCUUCGGGGGACAAAGUGACAGGUGGUGCAUGGUUGUCGUCAGCUCGUGUCGUGAGAUGUUGGGUUAAGUCCCGCAACGAGCGCAACCCUUAAGCUUAGUUGCCAUCAUUAAGUUGGGCACUCUAAGUUGACUGCCGGUGACAAACCGGAGGAAGGUGGGGAUGACGUCAAAUCAUCAUGCCCCUUAUGAUUUGGGCUACACACGUGCUACAAUGGACAAUACAAAGGGCAGCGAAACCGCGAGGUCAAGCAAAUCCCAUAAAGUUGUUCUCAGUUCGGAUUGUAGUCUGCAACUCGACUACAUGAAGCUGGAAUCGCUAGUAAUCGUAGAUCAGCAUGCUACGGUGAAUACGUUCCCGGGUCUUGUACACACCGCCCGUCACACCACGAGAGUUUGUAACACCCGAAGCCGGUGGAGUAACCUUUUAGGAGCUAGCCGUCGAAGGUGGGACAAAUGAUUGGGGUGAAGUCGUAACAAGGUAGCCGUAUCGGAAGGUGCGGCUGGAUCACCUCCUUUCUA